AAAAAUAGUUCAUGAUGGUGGACUUUUCCAAGUUGCUAGAAUACGCCAAAAGCUUUUAUCUGCAGAGGGCGCUGGGUUACUGUGUUGUGCUCAUCACCAGCUUCUUCGUCAUUGUUCCCCUUGGUUUGUUGCAAACAGCCGGACAGUUUCGUUGUUCUGUCGGCUGUAAGACAAA